AUGGUGAUGCUUCGUGAUAUUUGGAUGCCAAGCAGCCAAUGCUAUUUCACAGGGCCACUUUGGCCGUCUUUUGAGGCAGAAAAUUUUGAGCUAAAGCCUGGUCUUAUUGCUUUGGUUCAACAACAACAGUUUGGAGGUCUGCUCACUGAGGAUCCCUAUGAGCACUUAUACCGAGUCAUGGAGUAUUCAGGUACAGUCAAGUACCAUGGAGUUCCUCAAGAUGCUAUCAAGUGCAUGCUAUUCUCAUUCUCUCUCCGGGGUGAUGCUCGUGCUUGGUAUCGAUCCUUGCCGUCAAGAUCAUUCAGUUGGAAUGAGAUAUCACAAGCUUUCUUGGAUAAAUAUUUCCGACUACACAAGCAGUCCGCAAUUUGA
rnacentral:rRNA from 1 species